UACGAAGGGGGCUAGCGUUGCUCGGAAUUACUGGGCGUAAAGCGCACGUAGGCGGCUUUCUAAGUCGGGGGUGAAAUCCUGGAGCUCAACUCCAGAACUGCCUUCGAUACUGGAGAGCUUGAGUCCGGGAGAGGUCAGUGGAACUGCGAGUGUAGAGGUGAAAUUCGUAGAUAUUCGCAAGAACACCAGUGGCGAAGGCGGCUCACUGGCCCGGUACUGACGCUGAGGAGCGAAAGCGUGGGGAGCGAACAGG
rnacentral:rRNA from 1 species